GCCUCCGUAGCUCAGCUGGUAGAGCAGCUGACUCUUAAUCAGUUGGUCGUAGGUUCGAAUCCUACCGGGGGUA
rnacentral:tRNA from 1 species